AAAUAUCAAUGUGAGAGAGAAACAUCAAUGAGUUGCCUUUCCUAUGCACCUCAACUGGGGACCAAUCCUCAGUCUAGGCAAAUGCCCUUACAAGGAUAAUCAAACCCUGCAAACUUUUGAUUUUCAGGAUGACACUCCAACCAACUGAGUCACACUGGCCUGGGCUGGUUAAUCAUUUUAUA